UCCCAGACUCCUACGGGAGGCAGCAGUGAGGAAUAUUGGUCAAUGGGCGAGAGCCUGAACCAGCCAAGUCGCGUGAGGGACGACGGCCCUACGGGUUGUAAACCUCUUUUGCCGGGGGACAAACGGCGGCACGCGUGCCGUCCUGAGGGUACCCGGAGAAAAAGCAUCGGCUAACUCCGUGCCAGCAGCCGCGGUAAUACGGAGGAUGCGAGCGUUAUCCGGAUUUAUUGGGUUUAAAGGGUGCGUAGGCGGGCUUUUAAGUCAGCGGUAAAAAUUCGGGGCUCAACCCCGUCCGGCCGUUGAAACUGGGGGCCUUGAGUGGGCGAGAAGAAGGCGGAAUGCGUGGUGUAGCGGUGAAAUGCAUAGAUAUCACGCAGAACCCCGAUUGCGAAGGCAGCCUUCCGGCGCCCUACUGACGCUGAGGCACGAAAGUGCGGGGAUCGAACAGGAUUAGAUACCCUGGUA
rnacentral:rRNA from 1 species